rnacentral:rRNA from 1 species
UACGUAGGUGGCGAGCGUUAUCCGGAUUUAUUGGGCGUAAAGCGUCCGCAGCCGGUUUAUUAAGUCCAGAAUUAAAUCCCGAAGCUUAACUUCGGUUCGUUUUGGAAACUGGUAGACUCGAGUGUGGUAGAGGCAAAUGGAACUUCUAGUGUAGCGGUAAAAUGCGUAGAUAUUAGAAAGAACACCAGUGGCGAAGGCGAUUUGCUAGGCCAUUACUGACGGUCAGGGACGAAAGCGUGGGGAGCAAAUA